GCUGGGCGCAGUGGUGCGCGCCUGUAAUCACAGCAGCUCAGAAGGCUGAGGUAGGAGGAUCACAAGUUCAAAGCCAGCCUCAGCAAAAGUGAGGCACUAAGCAACUCAGUGAGACCCUGUCUCUA
rnacentral:sRNA from 1 species